GCUUCGCGUAGCUCAGUUGGAAGAGCAUUGGGCUAGUAUUCCAAAGGUCGUAGGUUCGAAUCCCACCGUGGCC